rnacentral:rRNA from 1 species
CCAUAAGCUUGGCACACUGAUCACACCCAAUCUCAUCUGAUCUUGGUAGCUAAGCAGAGUCGGGCCUGAUUAAUACUUGGAUAAGAGACCGCCUGGGAAUACCAGGUGGUAUAUGCA